UACGGGGGGGGCAAGCGUUGUUCGGAAUUACUGGGCGUAAAGGGCUCGUAGGCGGCCAACUAAGUCAGACGUGAAAUCCCCAGGCUCAACCUGGGAACUGCGUCUGAUACUGGUUGGCUUGAAUCCGGGAGAGGGAUGCAGAAUUCCAGGUGUAGCGGUGAAAUGCGUAGAUAUCUGGAGGAAUACCGGUGGCGAAGGCGGCAUCCUGGAUCGGCAUUGACGCUGAGGAGCGAAAGCUAGGGGAGCAAACGGG
rnacentral:rRNA from 1 species